UCCUGUAGCCGGGGUGUGGACCCGCGUCAGUCCGUCCCUCUUUCGGCCCUCUCUCUCUUGUCUUCCGGAGUGUGGCUGGCGGAGCCGGGAUGGCGGAGCGAGGCCUGGAGCCCUCGCCGGCCGCGGUGGCGGCGCUGCCGCCCGAAGUGCGGGCGCAGCUGGCGGAGCUGGAGCUGGAGCUCUCGGAGGGGGACAUCACACAGAAGGGAUAUGAAAAGAAAAGGUCAAAACUCCUGUCUCCUUACAUCCCGCAGACACAAGAAACUGAUUCAGCAGUACAGAAAGAACAUAGAAACCAGACACCUGCUCCGUCUGCAGCUCAAACUUCCGCUCCUUCUAAAUACCACCGAACUCGAUCUGGGGGAGCCAGGGAUGAACGAUAUCGAUCAGAUAUCCACACAGAAGCAGUUCAAGCCGCGCUGGCAAAGCAUAAAGAACAGAAAAUGGCGUUGCCCAUGCCAACCAAAAGGCGGUCUACAUUUGUCCAGUCUCCUGCGGAUGCCUGCACACCUCCAGACACGUCUUCGGCCUCUGAGGAUGAGGGCUCUCUGAGACGCCAAGCUGCGCUCUCUGCUGCCUUACAACAGAGCUUACAGAAUGCGGAGUCCUGGAUCAACCGUUCAAUUCAGGGAUCGUCCACUUCUUCAUCCGCAUCUUCUACGCUGUCCCAUGGAGAGGUCAAAGGAACCAGUGGGUCUCUAGCUGAUGUAUUUGCCAGUACUCGAAUAGAGAGUUUCUCUGCUCCCCCCGACGUCACUACAACUACCUCUUCCUCAUCAUCAUCUUCCUCAGUACGCCCAGCAAAUAUUGACCUGCCCCCCUCGGGGAUAGUUAAAGGCAUGCACAAAGGAUCCAACAGGUCCAGCCUUAUGGAUACAGCUGAUGGUGUGCCUGUCAAUAGCAGAGUAUCCACAAAAAUUCAGCAGCUUCUCAACACUCUGAAACGACCCAAAAGGCCUCCCUUAAAGGAAUUUUUUGUGGAUGACUCUGAGGAAAUUGUGGAAGUACCCCAGCCAGACCCCAACCAGCCGAAGCCUGAGGGACGGCAGAUGACCCCUGUGAAGGGAGAGCCGUUAGGUGUCAUCUGUAACUGGCCUCCUGCUCUCGAAUCUGCCCUGCAGCGCUGGGGUACCACUCAAGCAAAAUGCCCCUGUCUGACUGCACUGGAUGUGACAGGAAAACCAGUUUACACUCUUACGUAUGGAAAAUUAUGGAGCAGAAGUUUAAAGUUGGCCUAUACACUGCUUAAUAAACUGGGGACCAAAAAUGAACCCGUGUUAAAACCUGGAGACAGGGUCGCUCUGGUUUACCCCAACAAUGAUCCAGUCAUGUUUAUGGUGGCGUUUUAUGGAUGUCUCCUGGCAGAAGUGAUUCCAGUGCCUAUAGAGGUACCUCUUACCAGAAAGGAUGCUGGAGGUCAGCAGAUUGGCUUCUUACUAGGAAGCUGUGGUAUUGCCUUAGCUCUUACCAGUGAAGUUUGUCUGAAGGGGCUGCCAAAAACCCAGAAUGGAGAAAUAGUACAAUUUAAAGGUUGGCCCCGGCUCAAAUGGGUUGUAACAGAUUCCAAAUACCUUUCAAAGCCACCUAAGGACUGGCAGCCCCACAUCUCACCUGCUGGUAUAGAGCCGGCAUACAUUGAGUAUAAAACAAGCAAAGAAGGGAGUGUAAUGGGAGUUACAGUGUCCCGGCUUGCAAUGUUGUCUCACUGCCAAGCUCUGUCCCAGGCCUGCAAUUAUUCUGAAGGGGAAACGGUAGUAAAUGUUUUAGACUUCAAGAAGGAUGCUGGUCUGUGGCAUGGCAUGUUUGCGAAUAUAAUGAAUAAGAUGCAUACAAUCAGUGUACCAUACUCUGUUAUGAAGACCUGUCCUCUCUCUUGGGUCCAGCGAGUACAUACCCACAAAGCCAAAGUAGCAUUAGUAAAAUGCCGAGACUUGCACUGGGCUAUGAUGGCACAUCGGGACCAACGAGAUGUGAGCUUGAGUUCCCUCCGAAUGUUAAUCGUGACUGAUGGGGCUAAUCCCUGGUCUGUGUCAUCCUGUGAUGCCUUCUUGAGUCUGUUCCAAAGCCAUGGACUGAAACCUGAGGCCAUCUGUCCAUGUGCUACGUCGGCUGAAGCCAUGACUGUAGCAAUCCGCAGGCCUGGAGUUCCAGGGGCCCCUUUGCCGGGAAGAGCCAUUCUCUCAAUGAAUGGUUUGAGCUAUGGGGUAAUACGGGUAAAUACUGAAGAUAAAAAUUCCGCACUGACAGUCCAGGAUGUGGGACACGUAAUGCCUGGUGGAAUGAUGUGCAUCGUGAGGCCAGAUGGACCUCCCCAACUCUGCAGAACAGAUGAAAUUGGAGAAAUCUGUGUUAGCUCCAGGACAGGAGGCAUGAUGUACUUUGGGCUUGCUGGUGUGACAAAAAAUACAUUUGAGGUGAUUCCAGUGAAUUCUGCAGGCGCUCCUGUUGGGGACGUGCCAUUCAUCCGGUCAGGAUUGCUGGGGUUUGUCGGGCCGGGUAGCUUGGUGUUUGUGGUUGGAAAAAUAGAUGGAUUACUGAUGGUUAGUGGUCGAAGGCAUAAUGCCGAUGACAUUGUUGCUACUGGACUGGCUGUAGAAUCAAUAAAGACUGUUUAUAGAGGAAGAAUUGCUGUGUUUUCUGUGUCUGUAUUUUAUGAUGAGCGCAUUGUGGUGGUUGCGGAACAAAGACCCGAUGCGUCUGAGGAAGAUAGUUUCCAGUGGAUGAGCCGUGUGCUGCAGGCAAUUGACAGCAUUCAUCAAGUGGGAGUUUAUUGUCUUGCUCUGGUGCCUGCCAAUACAUUGCCAAAAACUCCACUCGGAGGGAUCCAUUUAUCUCAGACGAAACAGCUCUUUCUGGAGGGGUCUCUGCAUCCUUGCAAUAUCCUCAUGUGCCCACAUACAUGUGUGACCAAUCUGCCAAAGCCCCGGCAAAAGCAACCAGGUGUAGGCCCUGCUUCUGUGAUGGUUGGGAACCUGGUUGCUGGGAAACGCAUAGCACAAGCUGCAGGAAGGGAUCUUGGGCAAAUUGAAGAGAAUGAUUUAGUAAGGAAGCACCAGUUUCUGGCGGAGAUUUUACAGUGGCGAGCCCAGGCAACUCCUGACCAUGCCCUCUUCAUGCUGUUAAAUGCCAAGGGAACUACCGUGUGCACAGCCAGCUGCCUUCAGCUUCAUAAGCGAGCAGAGAGGAUUGCAUCAGUUCUGGGUGAUAAGGGUCAUCUAAAUGCAGGAGACAAUGUGGUAUUGCUCUAUCCACCUGGCAUCGAGUUAAUUGCUGCCUUCUACGGCUGCCUGUAUGCAGGGUGCAUUCCUGUGACAGUCCGACCUCCCCACGCUCAGAACCUUAUGGCCACCCUGCCCACUGUCCGAAUGAUUGUUGAUGUCAGCAAAGCAGCCUGUAUUCUCACCACCCAGACGCUAACGAGGCUACUGAGAUCCCGAGAGGCGGCGGCAGCUGUGGAUGUGAAAACCUGGCCAGCUAUCAUUGACACAGAUGAUUUACCCAGGAAAAGGUUACCUCAGCUCUAUAAACCACCCACUCCUGAGAUGUUGGCGUAUCUUGAUUUUAGCGUCUCCACAACUGGCAUGCUUACAGGAGUGAAGAUGUCCCACUCUGCAGUGAACGCUCUCUGUAGAGCCAUCAAGCUCCAGUGUGAGUUGUAUUCUUCUCGGCAGAUUGCCAUCUGCCUUGACCCUUACUGUGGACUUGGCUUUGCACUCUGGUGUCUCUGCAGUGUCUAUUCAGGCCACCAGUCCAUCCUGAUUCCUCCUAUGGAGUUAGAAAACAACCUUUUCCUCUGGCUCUCUACUGUCAACCAGUACAAAAUAAGAGAUACUUUCUGCUCCUACUCAGUAAUGGAGCUCUGCACCAAAGGACUUGGAAACCAAGUGGAGGUGCUCAAGACCAGAGGCAUCAACCUUUCCUGCAUCCGGACCUGUGUGGUGGUGGCGGAGGAGCGGCCCCGCAUCGCCCUCCAGCAGUCCUUCUCCAAGCUCUUUAAAGACAUCGGACUGUCCCCUCGGGCCGUCAGCACCACUUUUGGAUCAAGAGUCAAUGUAGCAAUAUGUUUACAGGGAACCUCAGGGCCUGAUCCAACAACUGUGUACGUUGACCUGAAAUCACUAAGACAUGACAGGGUUCGUCUUGUGGAAAGGGGUGCCCCCCAGAGUUUACUCCUCUCAGAGUCUGGAAAGAUUUUACCUGGAGUGAAAGUGGUUAUUGUUAAUCCUGAGACCAAAGGACCUGUUGGAGAUUCUCACCUGGGAGAGAUUUGGGUGAACAGUCCCCACACAGCCAGUGGUUAUUACACCAUCUAUGAUAGCGAGACUCUUCAAGCUGAUCAUUUCAACACUCGCCUCAGCUUUGGGGACGCUGCGCAGACACUCUGGGCUCGAACAGGAUACCUGGGGUUUGUCCGCAGGACGGAGCUCACAGCGGCCACUGGAGAGCGUCAUGAUGCAUUAUAUGUAGUGGGAGCUCUGGAUGAAACACUGGAGCUGAGAGGAUUGCGAUACCACCCGAUCGAUAUUGAGACCUCGGUGUCUCGGAUCCACAGGAGCAUUGCCGAAUGUGCUGUGUUCACGUGGACCAACUUGCUUGUGGUGGUUGUGGAACUGUGUGGCUCUGAACAGGAAGCCCUGGAUCUGGUCCCUUUGGUGACAAAUGUGGUCCUAGAAGAGCAUUACCUCAUCGUUGGCGUCGUCGUUGUGGUGGACCCAGGGGUUAUCCCCAUCAACUCCAGAGGAGAGAAGCAGAGGAUGCACCUCCGUGACAGCUUCCUAGCUGACCAGCUAGACCCCAUCUAUGUGGCUUAUAAUAUGUAACCAGCCUGGUGGGGACUGCAGGGGGCCAGUUCUGAAGAACCACAAGGACCGAACACCCAUGACUAGGAGCAAGUUUGAAAAUGAUGUGAAAUAAGUUGAGAUGGUUACAUUAUAUCCUUCAUCUCAUCCUGUGAGAUUCUGCAAUCACACAAACACAGGAAAGGGAAAUUCUAUGGUGGCAAAUGAAAAAAAUGUUAACAGCUUAUUAGACAUGAGCUUUGACAUAGCGUGAGCGGCACAUUACUAAAGCAAUUACAUGCAUGUUGCAUUUUUUUCAUCUGUUGUACAUACUUGUAUUUUUAUCUAAUGCUGUUUUAGAAUUUUGUAAGGAAGUUUAUUGAAUUUACAUGAAGGGGUAGUCUGAGUCACACAGUUCCCCCACUCUGUACUGUAUUUUGCCAUUUUACUGUAGCUAGACAUUCUGCAGGUUUUGUUAACAUGGAACUACUCAGCUUACUUUCAGUUGACCCAUGAGCAAAUCAGGUAACCCACAGAAUCUGAGAGUUACUUCUCUAUAUAUAUGCUUCUAGGCUGUAAAACAUUUUGACCAGUGUUUUAACUAUGUAAAUAAGAAUACACAUAAUUCAGCUAAAGAAUUCAAGAAUUGGCUUAUCUAAUUAAAACAACCAAAGUAGAAACAUUUCUGCUUUGAGAGAAUUUCAAGAUUCUCUAUUCGUAGUGUAAUUGAUUAAGUAACUGAAAUGUGCAAAUCGUUUGCAGGUUUUUGCUGCACAUUGUACUGUGUCUCCGUUGGCUGGUGUGUUUUAUAAAUUAAAGCUGCCUGUGUUUGUUGUUAAAGCUGGCAUCCUUGGGAUCGGCUUAAGCAUUAAGAAUUCAGCCUGUUUCUAUGAGCUGAAAAUCUCAGUUUAAAAAUCAAAAAUGUUAAGAAGCAGCUAAGAUUCAUUAGAUCUCCCCCUAUUCUAAGGAACCACAGUAACUCACUGUGGCCCCCAGGUUUUGAAACUGUCUUUCAAACUUAGAACAACUACUUAAGAACUUAGAAUUUCCCCUUUUUCCAGGCCUAUUGUAAACUCCAUCUACAGUUUCUACAUAUAGCUUCUCUUUCCUGAAAACUGAAGCUGUCCUCUGUUCUUCCUGUCCACGAGGGCAGGGAUUUAAAAAAAAAAAAAAAAAGAAUGUUGGCUGGGAAGGCAGUGGGAUCAGUAGUCACACGAAGCUGCAAGGCCACAUAACAAAAAAACUCAAAACUGACCAAUUUUGUUUGCCAAAAUAGCCAGGCUUAUGCUGAAAUAGGGGAAGCCUGAUGUAUGCAAGAAGCUCUUUUGAAAUGACUGGUGCCCAGGCCAAGCCGACUGAGCACGGGACUGAGUUUGACCUCCGGCUUGGUUUCCUUUCUUUGGUCUGAUACUUCACAUAUUUGAAUAUAGUUGAAUUUUAUUAUUUUUUUCUUACAGAAAUAUUUUUAAAAAUUAAGAAAAAACUCAAAGUGAACAGAGUUAACUUGUUAAAUCAGAAUGGGUCUCUUUGACCCACUCUGAUCUAUUGUGUAAAUAUUUAUUUAGACUAUUUUAAUAAUACACAUUAUUUACCCCACUGUAACAUCAUGUAAACUAAGUAUGUUUUUAAACAAUUUUUAAGACUUGUAAUUAUCCUGAAAAUAAGGUUUAUAAUGCAAAGCACCAGACCCUUCACCAGGGCAGCACUCUUGGAGGCUACCCUUACACAGUCUCAUGACCCAGAACCACUUCGUGACUUCCUUUUUCAUAAUCCUCUUUUGCUCCUAACUCAUUCUCCACAGUGGGUGGACUUAAGACAUUUUCCAGUUCUAGAUUUCGUUUUCAGCAUUUUGGAUGGAAUUAAUUUAUAUGUGAUGGGAAAGGUUUUAGGAUGCACAGGAAAAAAAACGCUUACAUUAGGGCAAGCAAGAAAUCCCAGUGACUAGCAAUGCUUUGGUUUGCAGAGAAAAGAGCCUGCUUGUUUAUGGAAAGUGAUUUUCUCCAGACAAUUGUUAACGAUUUACUAGGCAAAAGCAGGGAAUCAUGGGGAUUAGUUAAAUCAUUCCAUUUCCAUAUUCAGUUCUAAGAAAAAAAUACACUGUCUCCCUUGACAUAAUUACGGCUUGCUUUGGUAAUUCUUAAUAACAUGAGUUAUUAAGAAUUAAUAAUUCUUAAUAAUUCUUAAUUAUUAAGCAUCUAGAGCUGCAGUGUCUUAUAGAAAUAGACUGUGAGCCACAUCUGUAGUUUAAAAUGUUAUGGUAAUCCUAUUUCUAAAAGUAAAAAGAAAUAGGUGAUGAUGAUUUUAAUAUAUUUUAUUUAGCCCUGUAUAUCAAAAAUACUAUCAUUCAGCAUGAAAUCAAUAUAAAAAAUUGUCGAGAUAUUUUACAUACUUUUUUUUUCCAUCUUAAGCUUCAAAAUUCAGUGUAUAUUUUAUACUUCACAGCAGAUCUCAAUUUGGAUUACCCACGUCUCAAGUUUUAGGAAGAUAGCCACAUGUGGCUGACAGCUCCUGUAUUGGACUGUGCAGGUCUACACUCAUUCCUUCAAAUAAGAUACGCCAUUAAUUGCAGACUGUGGCCAACUCCCAGUUACUUAAUAAAAAAAAACUAAACCCACUGCCAUCAAGUCAAUUCCAAUUCAUAGAACUGCCCCAUAGGGUUUCCAAGGCUGUAAAUCUUGAUGGAAGCAGACUGCCACAUCUUUCUCCCACAGAGCGGCUGGUGGGUUUGAACUGCUGACCUCUAGGUUAGCAGCUAAGCACUUAACCAGUGCACCAUGAGGGCUCCUCCUAGUUACUUAGGGGCUGAUUAUCCAGUGUUGUAGUUCCUUGGGCCUCUGAUUUAUCUUUAUUGCUUUGCUUUUUGCCUAUGACUGCUUUUAGUAUCUUUUUUAUAUCCCCCAAGCCAGAAUAUGUUAGUGGAGGAAAGGAAGCAGAGAUCUGUCCUUGAGGAGCUUUACCAGCAGCUCUGGUAAAGCAUCUUUUUCAGGGAGGAGAGGCCACUCAUUAGCUGACGUGCUGUCUCUGGGGCCAUCUGCAGAUUUAAUGCCUAGUCUGUCGUGGAUGAGAGCAGACUCGGGUAAGAAAACUUUCCCUUGGUAACACAAUGCUCUCGCAUUAAGUAGAACCUUUGUGCCAGAACUGACUCCUAGGGCUGUCCCAGAAGGCCAUUAUUGACAAAACACAGCCUUGUCAAUCCUGGGGACACUUUCUGCUGGGUCCUUAUGCCUAUGAAAGAGAAAAUUAAUAGCAAGCCCCUUCUCAGUUAAGGGAAAUCUAUUAAUCUGUAAGUUUCUGAACCUCUGUCUCUCAGCAGAAGUAACAGAUCAGGAAGUCACUACUUCAAGAGAAUUCUAGGCACUGGGGAUUCUUAGAGCUACACAGGUUCCAUCUUCUGUAUCAGUGAGACCAGCAUGCUGAUUGGCACGAGCCAGUCCACACCGGCUUUAUUUCCUUCCUGCCUCAGAAAGGGCCCGGUUCUCCCCCAUACCAAGUCCUUUCCUUAUGAAGUUGUGUUGCCUCAGGCUAUUUAGGGACCAUCACCUGUCUAGUGGUCAUAUGAGUGUGUCUUCUUAUAUUAGUCCCUGGGGAAAGCUUGCUUAAUGCUUUUGUUGAAUCAACAAAGGACCUGAGACCUUAAGUGUUUUUUUAAGGUCUCUGCCCCAGGCAUGGUGCUCAAUAUCUUGGCCAAAUAAAUUACUUUCCUUGAAUAUCCAGGAAUCUUUUAGACUAAAGCAAUGAGAGGUUCUCACCUCACCCUCAAACUCCAACAUGAUCUAUGCCUUAGUGUUUUUGUGGUCUGCUUUGAUGUAAAAGCAAAGGUAUUUGGAACAAGAAGCUGCAGUACUCCAAAUACACAGUAAGCCUUUUCUUUCUCAUUCAUACAUUUCUGGUUUAGGUAUAUGAGAUGGGCCAUGUUACUUGUUCAGAGGAAGAGAUUGUAAAGAUAUAAUAAUUUUUUAGUCCUAAAUGCUGUUUUGUUUACUUUCUGUCAAGUUAUUUACCGGUGUCAAAUUCAAACUAUAGUACUGUGUAAUUAUGUAUAAAGUUUUUUUUUAUUUAUUUGAAAUUAGACUAGGUAUACAUUUUUAAAUUUAACAUCUGGCUGGACAGUGUUCUAUUAACUCAUUGAAUAUGUUUCCUUUGUCUUGUGUUAAUAAAUAUUGAUGCCUGAUUGUGUUUAAUCCUUCACAUGUUGGGAGGGGUUAGGAAAUGACAGAUUUUAAACUUACCUUCAGGUAGUAAGACACAGUGGUAGCUGGAGUGGUCAAAGGAAAGUGAGCACAGAGAUCAAAAACCAAUGCUAAAAACAGAGGCCAGAUCAAGAGAGAGCGGAGAGUCAUUUUGAAAACAGUUAAGUCUUUUGUCAGGACUUCUCAAAGUAACAGUUAUAGUUAAGUUUUCCUCCUACCUAUGCGGCAUUUGGCAGUUCUGAACCGUUGAUCAUAAACUUGACAAUAAACUGAAGGAAGUUUGAAUUUUUUCCAAUCUGUAACUAGGCUGGACUUCAGCUUUUCCUUAAGUGAUACUUCUUUGUUCUUCCGCUUCCUGGUUUCAGGAAACCUGAUUGGAGCACAUUGAAUCAUACAUGUUUGCAGACACAGAAACUUGUCCUUGAAUUAUGGUCUGGGCUUUUUUGGCAGCUGAGAACAUUUUUUCAUUUAAUAGACAUUUAUUGCCUGCCUGCCCACUAAGUUCAAGGCACUGUGAUAAAAGCUGAAGCUAGAGAGAGAAAAACAUCAAGUCCCUGCCCUUGAAGGAGGUACAGGGUAGAGAUGGACUGUAGGAGCAGUUAAUAUAGGCACCAAAUCCAAUGGUGAGGGAGAACAGUUGGGAAUAGCAGAAUAGCAUGCUUGAAGAGGUAACAUGUGGACUGAGUCAAAGUGAGACAGCCAGAUAAAGAAGAACAAGCAGGAAGGCAGAGUUGUAGGUAUACUCUGGGAACUGCAAUCCAUUACUAGGACAUAGGGCUUAAGUAGAGAAAGGUAAAAGAUACUGUGGAGGGCCUUGUGCUAGGAAUUGAGGAUUUUUAUCCAGGAGGCAAGGGAGAGCCAAUGAGGGAUUUAAAGCAGAGGAAUAACAUGCUCAGAUUUGCAACAGAUUAUUCUAGCAAUCAUACGGAGAAUGAAUUGGAGUAGAGAGGGAAAGGAAGGUAAGACCAGAGGCAGGGAGGCCAGUUGGGGGGCCUUUCCAGUAAUUGCAGCAAUAGGAUAAGUGCACUUUAACCAAGACAGCAACAACAGUAAGACUGAAGAAGAGAGGCCAUCCAUGAAAACUGGCAACUAAGAUUUCAAUGACUGGAUAUUCAGGGUAAGGAAGAAAGAGGAAUCAAACAUAACUCCUAGGCUUCUGGCUUGGGGAGUUAGAUGUGGGGCCAUUUACCAAAACAGGGAACAAAAGAGGAAUAGGUUUGGGAAAGAAGAUGCAGUGUUCCACUUUGGUCACAUUCAUUUGAAGUGCUGUGGAACAUGUAAAUGAAGAGGUCCAGCAGGCAGUUGAAUAUUUCUGUCUCAGGAAAGCUCUGGCCUAAAACUAUAUGUUUGGGAGACAUCCUUUCAAAAGUGGUAGUUGAUGCAAAUGGAAGUGGAUGAUAUUGCCAAGGAAGAUUAUGUAGAGUGAGAGGGGGAGUCAGAAUGAAGCCAUGGGGAAUGGCAGGAUUUGAAGGAUGGGUGGUAGUCCACAAAAGGGAGAAGGCAUGACUGGAGAGGUUGGGGCAAAACUAGAAACCGAAGCAAGAGUUUCAAAGACGAGGCAGUGGUCAACAAUGCCGAAGGCUACAAUAAGGCUGAAUAAAAUAGGGACUGGAUAGCCUCUACUGUAUUUGGCAACUGUAGGAUGGACUGUAGGAGCAGUUAAUAUAGGCACUGAAUCCAAUGGUGAGGGAGAAUAGUUGGGAAUAGCAGAAUAGCAUGCUAGAGGAGGUAACAUCUGGACUGUGACCUUGACCAGUGCCUUAUGGGGAAAGAAGCCCAAAAACUAGUUGAGAGGGGUGAAUGCCGAGAUAGUCUGAACGGAAGCUCCUCUUUCUAGAAAUUACAAAUGGAAAGGAGAGAGGUGAUACAGUAGUUAAAAGGGGGAUAUAGAAUCGAGAGGCUUUUUUUGAAGAUGGAAGAAAUAAAAUAUUCAUGUGUCAAAGGGAAAAGGCAGCAGAGGGGAAAUUUCCAAAUAUAGCAAUAAGAGAUAAUUGAUAAAACAAACUCACCUAGGAAGCAGGAGGGGAAGGGGGUCCAGAGAACUGGUGAAAGAAUUAGUGUUUGAUGGGAGGAAGCACAUUUAUUCAAAUAAAACUGGAAAGGCUGGGUACAGACAAGAUCCUGAUGUAGGAAGUUGCUCAAGGUCUACCUGAUGAGCUCAUUCACUUCUCUGAACCUCCAGUCUACAAAGAUGAACAUUCAUUUCUGAAGUAAUUUCUAUAAAUAUAGGUCUGAAAAAAUAUGGAGAAUCCACAAAUAACAGGAGUUCCUAAAGAAGCAGAUAUAAGACGGAAGAAAUUCAUUUGUUAAAAAACAAACACUUAAAUUAGUUGUGUUCAACUUCAAGCCUAGUGGGAGAAAAACUAAAGUAGAAGGAAGGAAAUAAUGAAAAUAAAAGCUGAAGUUAAUAAAACAAAUAGGAAAAGGUUUAACAAAACCAGAAGUUGAUUUAAUAGAAAUAACCUAAAAAAAUCAUUAAAAUUCAUUGUAAAGACGCAAACAAAAAAACUAUUAGGAAACACAAAGGAGAAUGCAAAUACAGUAGAGACUUUUAAAGGAUUAUUAUCAAAUUAAUUUUAAAUUAAUUUCCAGAUGAUUUUGAAAACUGACUCAUGAAAUAGAAAAUCUGAAUUUUGCCAAACCCACCAGAAAAAUCCCAUUUUCAUAUUUAAAAGGAAAAGCUAUGCAACUCAUUUUACAAAGUUAGCAUAAUCUUGAUACCACAUUAGAUAAAGUUAAAAUUUUUCUGUAUCAGUCUCACUUGUGAAAAGACUAAAUAAAAUUUAGAAUCUUUGGUUAUCUAUUCUAGUGCAAACACCUGGAGUUGGAAAACCAAAAGGGAAGAAAACACUUAGCAUUUCUCAAGCUGAAAGAACUGAAGAAAAACUUCAAGCCUCAAGUUGCAAUACAGAAGGGUUCUAUGGGCAAAAUAUUGAACGAUGCAGGAAGCAUCAAAAGAUGAUGGAAGGAAUACACAGAGUCACUAUACCAAAAAGAAUUGGUCAACAUAUUCAGCCAUUUCAGGAGGUAGCAUGUGAUCAAGAACCAAUGUUACUGAAGGAAGAAGUCCAAGCUGCACUGAAGCCAUUGUAGAAAAACCAGGCUCCAGAAAUUGAUGGAAUACCAACUGAGAUGUUUCAACAAACGAAUGCAACACUGGAAGUGCUCACUCAUCUAUACCAAGACAUUUGGAAGCCAGCUACCUGAUCAGCCAACGGUAAGAGAUCCAUAUUUGUGUCCAUUCCACAGGAUGCAGAAAUUAUUGAACAAUAUCAUUAAUAUCACACCCAAGUAAAAUUCUGCUGAAGAUUAAUUAAAAAUGGUUGCAGGAGUACAUAGGCAAGGAACUGCCAGAAAUUCAAGCUGGAUUCAGAAGAGGAUGUGGAACGAUGGAUAUCAUUGCUGAUGUCAGAUGGAUCCUGGCUGAAAGCUGAGAAUACCAGAAAGAUAUUUACCUGUGUCAUUGACUAUGUGAAGGCAUUCGACUGUGUGGAUCAUAACAAACUAUGGAUAACAUUGCAAAGAAUGGGAAUUCCAGAACACUUAAUUGUGCUCAUGGGGAACCUGUGCAUAGACUAAGAGGCAGUCAUUCGAACAGAACAAGGGGAUACUGAGUGGUUUAAAACCAGAAGGGUGUCAGCGUUGUAUCCUUUCACCAUACUUAUUUGAUCUGUAUGCCGAGCAAAUAAUCCGAGAAGUUGGACUAAAUGAAGAAAGAUGAGGCAUCAAGAUUGGAGGAAGACUUAUUAACAACCUGUGUUAUGCAGAUGACACAACAUUACUUGCUGAAAGUGAAGAGGACUUGAAGCACUUACUGACAAAGAUCAAAGACCACAGCCUUCAGUAUGGAUUACACCUCAACAUAAUGAUAACAAAAAUCCUCUCAACUGGAUCAAUAAGCAACAUCAUGAUGAACAGAGAAAAGACUGGAGUUGUCAAGGAUUUCAUUUUACUUGGAUUCACAAUCAACACCCAUGAAAGCAGCAGUCAGGAAAUCAAAUGACAUAUUGAUUGCAUUGAGCAAAUCUGCAAAAUACUUCAGAGGGUUAAAUGCAAAGAUGUCACUUUGAGGACUAAGGUGCGCCUGAACCAAGCUAUGGUAUUUUCAAUUGCCUCAUAUGCAUGUGAAAGCUGGAGAAUGAAUAAGGAAGACUGAAGGAGAACUGAUGCAUUUCAAUUAUGGUGUUGGCAGAGAAUAUAGAAUAUACCAUAGACUGCCAGAAGAAUAAACCGAUCUGUUUUGGAAGAAAUACAGCCAGAAUGCUCCUUAGAAGCAAGGAUGGCGAGACUUUGUCUUAUGUACUUUGGACAUGUUAUCAGGAGGAACCAGUACCUGGAGAACAUCAUCGUUGGUAAAGUAGAGGGUCAACAAAAAAGAUGACCCUCAAUGAGAUGGACUGACACAAUGGCUGCAAAAAUGGACUGAAACAGCAACGACUGUGAGGAUGGCGCAGUGCCGGGCAGUGUUUUGUUCUGUUAUACUUAGGGUCCUUAUGUGUCAUAGCUGACUCGAUGGCACCUAACGACUGUUUUUUUGGAAGAGUUUGUGAAUAAUUAGUACUAAUUUUUGUAUAAAUAUUUGAUAGAAUUUAUCAGUGAAGCUAUCUGGGCCAGGGCUUUUCUUUGUGGGUACACACACACGUAUCCUCUAAGGAUGUGGUAAUGAGUUUUGAUUUUAAGUGCAAUAAGAUGCCUUUGGUGGCAUUUGUUUUGGUGUCAUUAAUUGAUUUGUAUUUUUUAAAAGGUACUUUGUUUGCUAUGUAGAAAAAGGACCAUGGAUGGAUAUUGUGAAGAAGUUUUAAACUUUUUGUGUGUGUGUGGGGCACAUGCUCAAACUAUGAAUUCCAUAAAGGCAAUCACCUGAAAGUACAAAUAUAGAAAACUGAUCACUGGUCAAUGUCUUAGGCUGGGUUCUCUAGAGAAGCAAAACCAGUGAAAUGUAUGAAUAUAUGUACAGUGAUUUAGAUCAAGGAAGUGGCUCAUGCGUUUGUAGAGGCUGGAAAGUCCCAAGACCAAGGCUGGAGGGUUCUCCUGACUCAAGUAGCUGCAGAGGCUGGUGAACCCAAGAUCAGCAGGUCAGACAGCAGACCUCUGGCUCACAGGCUACGGAGACUGACCAGUCCCAAGAUCGGCAGGUAAGCUGGCUAGCUCAAGUCCCAAGAACCGGAUGUUAGAUGAACAGGGGCCAGCUGCAAGAUCCAGAGUAAGCAAAAGCCAACGAACUUGGCUAGAAAGUCCACCUAUAUUGAAUGCAGUCCACUCCCCCAAGGAAAUUUCACUGUCAACUGAUUGACUUCUCAUAACAGAGCUCAUCAUGGAUGUGAGAUUACAUUAUAUCAGAUCGCAUUAUGGGGGGGUUUACAUCAUUACAUAGCUACCAAACUACAUCAUAACUGCCAAACCACUGAGAAUCAUGGCCCAGACAAGUUGACACACAACUUUAACCAUUACGGUCAAUAAAUGAAAAAGUUACUCAGUGAAGGAACUCAUUAUGAGUCAUGUAUGCUUUAAAUAUUUUAAUUUAAAACAUACAAGUAUACAUUUAUUCAUGAAUCUUUUGAUGGAGAGCCAACACUGUUUUGAAUAUAGAUCCACCAACUGAAGUAUAUCAAUGAAAGAUGGAGUCAUCUUGCAUAAAACAACGUCUGUAACUUGUAUUUGAUUUUCAGUUUGUUUACUUAAAGAUACUUGAAACAAUCUGAAUGCAGAAUUUUUUUUUACCAAUUUUUUGCAUCUAAUUUGACAAUACAUUUUAAAUAAUGGUCCCAGAACCAGAGCUUGUAAAGUCAAAUCUUUCCAAAGCAUUUCAACUUAGUUUUUAUAUAAACAAAAACUGCUUUUCUGCACUCAUAUUUAAUUGGUUAACGUAAUAGUUACUUGUUUUAUUAUAGUUACAAGUACAGCUGGUGUAAACAGGAUUAGGACUAACUAUAAUUUUUUUCUUCUAUAAUCUUAUUAUACAGCUCAUCUAGUAGAAAUGCACAGAAUACUAGAAGGCAGCCUACUAAAUGUCAAUUAAUCCGGGGAGUCAGUUAAAUGGGGGUAGAUUAAAAGAUGAUCAUCUGUAAAUUGUAUUUGAAUGUGUCAAGUAUCAUCACUGCCAAGUGGGAGUAUUAAAAAGCUGCUGACCAGCCCUCAGGCUGACCUCUCUGGACCUCCUAAAUUCCCCCAGAAUCUUCACACUGGCAGGUUGCUCUGGCCAGCAUAAAGAAGGUUCCUCCAGUAGCUGAAUGUCUAUUCUAGGCUGUCUUGCUACAACUCUGUAAUAAUCUUGAAGGUAGUUUGCUUUUGCAGUCCAACUAAUACAAACAAUAACCAGUACUUGCCGUUCUUUGGAAACCCUAUGGGGCCGUUCUACUCUGUCCUAUAUAGGGUGGCUAUGAGUCAGAAUCAACUUGACGGUAACAGGUUUGUUUUGUUUUGUUGUCUAUUUUAGGUUUUUACCAGUGGAACCAGGUAGGAUCCUACUGAAAUAUACAAUGCAAGAAAUAAUGAUGGUUUGGACUAAGGUGGUGGUGGUGGACAUACAGUGAAAGUGAGGUUACAAGGGAAAUUAUAUGUCCUGCGUCCAGGUAUAUUAGUAAGUACUCUCAAAAUAACAGCAACCAAAUUAAGCUAGUUUAAAUAGCAAAGGACUAGUCAGUACACUGGGUCCCUAGUGGCACAGGUGCUUGACUACUAGCUGAAAGGUUGGCAGUUCGAAUCCUCCCAGAGGCUCAUCAGAAGACAGGCCUGGCAAUCUGCUUCGAAACAUCAUAUAGCCUUGCUAUACCCUGCACACAUGGAGUCACCAUGAGUCAGAACUGACUCAACAGCAACUAAAAACAUUCAGUACAAGGACAAAGUGCAGCUUAUGGAACGCGAAGGCUGUGACACGCAGUUGUGCCUCAGGCAGAUACUAGAACUUGCUUGCUGUCUCAGCUAACUGGCUUUAUGGGUGGAUGGAAGAUGUCCAUUAUACAGCUCCCAACUUGAGGUUCAUUCAUCUAGGGAGAUUAAUUUUUGCCCCUUACCAAUUUCCAUUGGGGAGACUCUUGAUGGCCCAACUUUGGGUAAGGUGCCCAUUGUUGGUAAGAUAUGAAUGACUGUGAGGAGGAGUUCCCAUAAAAGGGGGAAGGAUUGGACGGACAGCUCUGUAGUUGUUCACUACUCCAGUGCCUUACAGGUAUAUAGGCUCAAUUCCAGAUUAGAUAACAGGAGGCAGUGAAUAGUCUCAGAGCUGAGUUAUCUGGGACAACUUGUCUCAGGAGUGUUACCUGAAAUAGUGUGAUUGUAGUUAAUACUACCAAUCCCUGCAGGGAUUUAGGACCUAUCUUUGGUUUCCUUGUGUGUUCAGACUUGAGAAUUGAAGGACAAAAAAAACCCAAAACAAUUAAGCCUAUAUUUAGGCCACAAAGCCUGUAUCUAUCAGCUUUAAAUAAUUUCUGACUUGAGAGGUGGGCUGUCCCAGAUACUGUUCCAGGCUUUUAAGGCCUCCACUCUGGCUCAGUCCCUUUGUUAAUUCAUGAGGCUUCUCUGAAUGUGUGGCCACUUAGUGUUUUUCAGCUAAGUUUCCAGUAGUUACAUUGAAGUGUCUUCCAUAUUAAUAGCCAACAUUUUUUAGUGCUUACUCUGUGCCAGACAGGGCUGUACAUGUAUUAAACUCCAUCUAUAAAAAAAAAAAAAAAAAUUUUUUUUUUUUUUUAUAAAACCCCAUGGGAUAGGUGGAGUUAUUGAGUCCAUUUCAUUAUAAUGCCCCCUCUUUCCUAACUGGAAAAAAAGUAUGCUAAAAGAGCUAAACAGGUGCCAUCACAGGCUUCACCAGUUUGUUUUAAAACAACAAUUACUUAUUUUUUCAGUAAUUCUAGGACUUAGACUGAGUGUUCUUCUCCCGAUUUUGAUAAGGAGACUUACACUCAAAGAGGUUGGAUAAUUUGCUCACUCAAAAACCUAGUACGCCUAACAUGAGCAAAAUAAGGGCAGUCACCUGUUCUAGCUUGUAAUAGGUAGUGAACAAUGUGAGCUCUUAAGUGUUUGGCACAGAGUAACACUACAAUUUUAAACCACAUUGUCUGUAUCUGGCCCAAAAGGUCAGAAACGGGAGGGGCUCUUUCUUCAAAUCAACUUAAUAGUGGAGAUUUAACUAGCAAAAUGUCAGAAAAGUUUUGGAACUUUUUGUCAAAAGCAUGCUAAAGGGUUUAUUUAUCGAGGAGUUGAAGCACUUACUGAGGAAGAUCAAAGAAUACAGCCUUCAGUAUGGAUUACAACUCACCAUAAAGAAAACCAAAAUCCUCACAACUGGACCAAUAAGUAAUAUCGUGAUAAACGGAAAAAUGAUUGAAGUUGUCAAGGAUUUCAUUUUACUUGGAUCCACAAUCAAUGCUCAUGGAAGCAAAAUGGAAGCAGCAGUCAAGAAAUCAAACGAUGUAUUUGCACUGGGCAAAUUUAAUGUGUUAAAAAGCAAAGAUGUCACUUGGAGGACUAAGAUGCACCCGACCCAAGCCAUGGUUUUCAAUCACCUCAUAUGCAUGUGAAAGCUGUACAAUGAAUAAGGAAGACCAAAGAAUUGAUGCCUUUGAAUUAUGGUGUUGGUGAAGAAUACUGAAUAUGCCAUGGACUGCCAAAGAACAAAUCUAUCUUGGAAGAAGUACAUCCAGACUGCUCCUUAGAAGCCAGGAUGGUGCGACUUCCUCUUACUUAUUUUGGGCACGUUAUUAGGAGGGACCAGUCCCUGGAGAAGGAUGUCAUGCUUGGUAAAGUAGAGGGUGAGGAAAAAAGAGGGAGACCCUCAACAAGAUGUUUUGACACAGUGGCUGCGACAAUGGGCUCAAACAUAGCAAUGAUUCUAAGGAUGGUGCAGGACCGAGCAGUUUCGUUGUUACACACAGUAUCCCUAUGCGUCCGAACUGACUCUACAGUACCUAACAUCACCAUAGCUAUAAAAGAACACUAAGGAAAUGAAUAAAACAAAAAAUUCAGAAUAAAGCUGUCCUUCCCCAGAUAAGUGGUUACACACACAUUCAUAAAUUUAUUUUUUAAACUUUCAUAAUUUAUUAGAUGACUGCGUAACACUUUAUUUUACGAUAUCGCAUUGUAUGUAACUUUUUUAUUCACAGUUGAACGUUUUGGGGAAUGUGUACUACAGCUUACUACACCAAAGUGGAGUUCAAACACUCUACUGGCACCUAAGUCUUCGUAAAAAACGCUAUUUCAUAUGGAUGAAAGGAUGCAACUCGCAAUACCAUUUCAUAAGAUUCAGAACAUGGGUGAACUAAGAGAAGCUAAGAUAAAGUCUCCACGCUUCAAAAGUUACUUCCCCUUACAGGAGCGUGGACAGGUCGAGGACCACAACUCUGGCCCUGAUCCCCCAACCCAGAACACAUACUGGCUGAGCCUAGAGCGUUGUCACUAACGGAUGAAAACUGCCCCACACCGAGCGACCUCCUGAAAGCUAGUGAGGACCUCCGGCAACAGACAUGCAAGAGGAGGAGGGGGGAAAGGUUUAAAUCCUGACGCGAAAGAAACAGCCCAGGUUGCGUUCACCCCCAGCUUUCUGCAGGGUCACACCCCCUAGCUGCACAAUUCGCAGUCCCAAAAAGACCCGUACAAGAUGGCGGCGCAUCACGUGAGCAACGCGCUGACGUAGGACGGCGGCCCGCAGGGAAGAGCCGCCUAACCUUCAACCCCCCCCGCGCUCACUUGCACUCAGUUUUGCCCCCCUUGCCUCCCCCGCCCUCGGCUUGGUGUAGAUAAUGCCGCCACUGGGGGCCCUGGCUGCCGAGGAAACGGUAGCCUAGGACAGUUGGCUGUUAAGUGACAUUGGGUCUUCCCGGCCCACCAGAUCGCUGAGAAACAGGCACGUCCCCCGCCGCGUGAGGGGGUGGAGAAAGGGGUAGUGAACUCGGAUCCACCCUGGGAGGGGGGAGUGGAAGUUCACGCCCCAGACAGCGGCGAGGCGGCAGCCACAGUUGAUUAUGGAAGAUUCCCACAAGAGUAACACUUCAGAAACAGCACCUCAACCCAGUUCAACAGUUCAGGGAGCUCAUAUCUCUCAUAUUACUCAACAGGCAUCAUCCUUAUCAGAAAGUGAGGAGUCUCAGGACUCAUCUGACAGCAUAGGCUCCUCACAGAAAGCCCACGGGAUCCUAGCACGGCGCCCAUCUUACAG